GACGAACGCUGGCGGCGUGCUUAACACAUGCAAGUCGAGCGAUGAAGCUGGAGCUUGCUCCGGUGGAUUAGUGGCGAACGGGUGAGUAACACGUGAGCAAUCUGCCCUUGACUCUGGGAUAACUGCGGGAAACUGUAGCUAAUACCGGAUACGAGGCUCGAAGGCAUCUUCGGGUCUGGAAAGAAUUUCGGUCAAGGAUGAGCUCGCGGCCUAUGAGCUUGUUGGUGAGGUAAUGGCCCACCAAGGCGACGACGGGUAGCCGGCCUGAGAGGGUGACCGGCCACACUGGGACUGAGACACGGCCCAGACUCCUACGGGAGGCAGCAGUGGGGAAUAUUGCACAAUGGGCGAAAGCCUGAUGCAGCAACGCCGCGUGAGGGAUGAAGGCCUUCGGGUUGUAAACCUCUUUUAGCAGGGAAGAAGCGAGAGUGACGGUACCUGCAGAAAAAGCACCGGCUAACUACGUGCCAGCCGCCGCCGUAA
rnacentral:rRNA from 1 species